rnacentral:rRNA from 1 species
CAGUCGCCGCGGUAAUACGUAGGUGGCAAGCGUUGUCCGGAAUUAUUGGGCGUAAAGGGCUCGCAGACGGUUUCUUAAGUCUGACGUGAAAGCCCCCGGCUCAACCGGGGAGGGUCAUUGGAAACUGGAAACUUGAGUGCAGAAGAGGAGAGUGGAAUUCCACGUGUAGCGGUGAAAUGCGUAGAGAUGUGGAGGAACACCAGUGGCGAAGGCGACUCUCUGGUCUGUAACUGACGCUGAGGAGCGAAAGCGUGGGGAGCGAACAGGAUUAGAUACCCGUGUAGUCCCUGUCUCUUAUACA